rnacentral:rRNA from 1 species
CUACUCACGCUUUCCAUAUGGAGCUGGGAGCAUUUGCCGGUUGGACGACCGAAGACCGUGAAGUACGAGGAUUGGGACGACAAAGAUGACCCACUACGGCUCCCCACUUGGGCUUACAAGUGGAAUGUGUUAAAUAAGACGACGGAUGAUCCCUCGUGUCGGUGGGAACGACACCUAUGGAUCACAAGAAUCCCUACUGUGGUUAGCGGGGCGCGGGGUCGUGAGAAGAGCGGAUCAAACAGGUAG